rnacentral:rRNA from 1 species
GACGAACGCUGGCGGCGUGCUUAACACAUGCAAGUCGAACGGAAAGGCCCUGCUUUUGUGGGGUGCUCGAGUGGCGAACGGGUGAGUAACACGUGAGUAACCUGCCCUUGACUUUGGGAUAACUUCAGGAAACUGGGGCUAAUACCGGAUAGGAGCUCCUGCUGCAUGGUGGUGGUUGGAAAGUUUCGGCGGUUGGGGAUGGACUCGCGGCUUAUCAGCUGGUUGGUGGGGUAGUGGCUUACCAAGGUUUUGACGGGUAGCCGGCCUGAGAGGGUGACCGGCCACAUUGGGACUGAGAUACGGCCCAGACUCCUACGGGAGGCAGCAGUGGGGAGUAUUGCACAAUGGGCGGAAGCCUGAUGCAGCAACGCCGCGUGCGGGAUGACGGCCUUCGGGUUGUAAACCGCUUUCGCCUGUGACGAAGCGUGAGUGACGGUAAUGGGUAAAGAAGCACCGGCUAACUACGUG